UACAGAGGGUGCGAGCGUUAAUCGGAAUUACUGGGCGUAAAGCGUGCGUAGACGGCUAUCUAAGUCGGGUGUGAAAGCCCCGGGCUCAACCUGGGAAUUGCAUUCGAGACUGAAUAGCUAGGGUACGGUAGAGGGAAGUGGAAUUCCCGGUGUAGUGGUGAAAUGCGUAGAUAUCGGGAGGAACACCAGUGGCGAAGGCGACUUCCUGGCCUGUUCUUGACGCUGAGGCGCGAAAGCUAGGGUAGCAAACGGG
rnacentral:rRNA from 1 species